UCUGCAAAAUGUUUUAAACUGAUCGUAAACGAGCAAAAAGGGCACUCCAAAAUGUGAGGGUCAUUUGCCCUUUACACAACUUAACGACCCAAAAAGGCCUAUAGAAAGAAAACUAGCAAGGACAACUUUCUACAAAGUAUGUCUUGGGAGAAUAUAGCUAAGGUCGGUCUACAAAAUCUUCCAUUUGCGCUCCAUGGCAUUCGUGAUCAUUGAUAUGCAGUAUGCAGCACUCAAUGGAUAAUCUGAAAUUGAUAAAUAAUCUUCAACAUAAUCUUUAUCAAUUUUCCCAUGGGCCAUAGCCCCAACCACAAAGACAAGGUUCAUGUCAUUGUUGACGCCAUUAACAUAGUCCUGAAUAUCCACCAGCUUCUCAGAACUAUGAGAGAAGCCUAUCUUCCGACAGUCGAUGGGUAGGUACUGUGUAACAGGGUUUUUUAUAACACGCAACAGUUUCUCUCGCUUACCAACAGCAGUUAUGCUCAGCUUUUGUAGCAGCUGCAACAUGAUGCCAGAAAAUCUCUUAAAAGUCCUAGGGAUACGAACAUGAGGUUUUACUUCAAAAAGGACACCUUUCUCAGUCCUCACAUACAAAGCUUUCAGUCGCCCAGCUUUAUUUACUCGGCUAUCUAAAAUUGAAAGCAUUGCCUGAUGCGCAAUAUCAGGCCGAUAAUCAGAAGGGUUCCGGCCAUUCUUCUUCAGAAAGUUGGAGUGUUCAUCAGAAUUCAGAAGUUGGUACGUCUUUCCAAUUUUAGCAAUUUCAAGAGAAGCUCUUUCAAUGAUGAAAAUAACACCAGGUUUAUUGGUUUGAUCAGUUGCAACAACAGGAAUGCCAGAUAGUAAAUCUACAACUCUUUCAGCUGCCUCGGUGUCUGCCUCAGAGUGUUCUGUCUUCACUCUUUUUGUUGAUUCCUCCUCUUCCAAAGGUACCUCAAUUUCUUCUUCUUUAUCAUAAUUCUCUCCUUUCUUUUUUCUUUUCUCCCCUUUUACUUUGUAUGCACGCACCAUUUUUGUCACACGUAAAAGUAUCUCGGUAUGUCACUGCCGGAGUUUGAUGCUGCCAAGUGAGUUUUGAUGUAUAAUCCUUCUGUUUGUAGCUGUUGCCGGAGA
rnacentral:misc_RNA from 1 species